rnacentral:rRNA from 1 species
AUGGCCAAAAAAAUGUAUUCCUGUAAUUGGGUCCCCUCCCGGGUUACUGAGGUGCAAUUGGAAGGAUGUGUCAAGAUUGGCACUUUACCGAAACGGAGUGAAAUCAAGUGGCAUGUCCCCGGUCCAGAAAACUCUCCUAGCCCCAGAGAUGCCGAGGUGGUAGUGUUUGUUGACCACAUAGGUCGCGGUUUUAAAUCGACUGGAUCCAAAUUCUUCCGUGACGUACUUGCCAAUUUCCAGAUUCACCCUCAAGACAUUGGACAAAAUUAUGUGUUCAACAUUUGCAAUUUUCAAGUAUUUUGUGAAGCAUACCUGCAGGAGGAGCCAGCUGUUGAGCUAUUCCGGGACUUCUUCUACUUGAACCGUCGUACUGAAUUUGUGGAUGGGCCCAAUACCGAACUAGGCGGC